UGAACCACUAUGCAGGUUCAUUGUGAAGACAAUGAAGGCAGAGAAGGUUGCUUUGCCACCCAGCUGGCCGUGAUGGACAUCCAGAGGCAGCUCUGAAAGCUUUCCUUCCUGUGUGGAGCCUUCAGGACAGAUGCCAAGGCUCCAUUUCAAGAUUUGCCCUGACUUAAAGAGUGCCUGAAUGUCAGCCCACAGUGUGGCUUUCUACCAACCACGACAAAAAUCCCUUACAGGAAUUUAGACCAUUCCUAAACAACAUGCAAAAGGCUAUGCAACAUCCUGAAAGGCUAAGCAGGACCUGUCAAUUAUUCAUAGUGAUGGGACCCAUGAUUUACAAAGCCACACAUUGUAGAUCAUCUCCCUUAAUUUUGGAUGAAAAAGGAUAAAUAGCUUUCCUCAGCCAGUUGUCUGACCUCGCUUGAUAACAUGCAGGAGGGUCGUGGGCCCCAGUGGACUCAUCCUACCCUGCAGGUGAUCUCCUACACAGUGAUCUCUGAACAGAACAAAUUGCUGUGGGACAAAACCUGCUGUCUCUGGACUCUCUAGAGAGCAUAGAUAUGGAUACGGCACAGUUCACGUAAACAUAACUGUCCCCAAAUUUCCAGAUUAUUUUUUAAAGCUGCAAAAUAGAGCCCUUCGUGUUAAGGCAGAGAAAAAAAUCCUAGCCCGGGCUCCUUGGGGCAGCCUUCAUCUGUUCAUCUCACCGUGCAUCCUCAUAAAAUCAUGCAACAUUUCACUCACAGGAUGGACUGCUCUCCGCAGGCUGAGCAGUUAUUCUGUGUUAUGUUUUUUUUCUUGUUUCUCAGUGUGUCAGCCAGGCUCAAUUUGCUCCACACAUUUCAAACCUUGCUCUGAAGACCGAAUUAUUAAUUUCCUGUAGGCUUUUUCUCUGGCACGUCUUGCUACAGUGCCUGAAUGGCUCACAAAUUCAGCCUGGUUAUUUUCUUGCUACCUCAGUGAGAUAACAGGCAAUUGUUAACCCUUGUUUUCAGCCAGAGAAGUGAGGCAUAAUGAGAUUUCAUUUACAGUUAUUCACUUAUUUUGGAUACCCAGGUUAGGAUGCUUUGGGUUUGAUACCUCAGGGUGCUUAGCACCUUAGUAGUGAUUUAGCACUUUUUAUUCCAAGUGCAUUUCCCUCCAACUUCAACUGCAGCUGUGUAUACUCAGCAUAUUUGCAAAACAGCCACCAGGGUCUCAGGUAGGUGGAAAACGAGGAGCACACAAACAGUGACCACCUGCAGGCAGUAUGGGAGCUGAGCUGUUCUGAUUGAAAGAGCACACAUCCCAAGUGCAUUGCAAAGCCUAAUUUUAGGUACCCAAAAGGAGGAGAAAAAGCUAAACCAGAAAACUUGGCACUUACAUCUUCCCUUAAGUGCCUGGAUUGAAAUAGGGUCUCAGCAGCCCUUAGCCACAACAUAGACAAGAGAAGAAACCUGGGACCAAGGCUGAUAAGCUGAAUCCCAGCCUUCCUUGGGCAUAUUCAUGUCUUCAGCACAUUGCAUCUAUCUGCACCCCUAAUUUGCUGUUUUCUAUCUAAAUGUGCCCUCAGACCACAUACUAAUAUGCUCAGGGAAGGAGGAGGCAAAGUAGGAGCCUGGUGUUGUGGGGGAGCCUGCUAAGAGAACACCAGAGAUGGGUUUGGUCCCGUGGGAUUUAAACACACACUCCCUAACUCCACGUGGUUUAACAACCAGCUGUAUCAACAGCUAGGUCUAGACAAAUUCAAAAAACCAGUUAAAUGCAAAUUCUUUAACUGGAUUCAUCCUUUCAACAGCCUCAUAGAAACAUUAAGAUUACAGAAAAUGCUGCAUAUUGGCUGAAUAUCCAUUCAGAAUCCUUUAUUAGGCAUCAAGGACUAAUUUUCUAACAAAAGCCAAAUCCUGUGCUGUUCUUUUAUUUACAGCUGAUCUUUCUGGCUUUGAAACAAGAUAAAGCACAGACGGCAAGGAUAUCUUAUCCAGAAAACAUUACCUUUUCUCUGUUUAAUCCAUAAACUGCAUAAUAUGUAUGUGCAUUUCAAGGAACAGUAAUUGAUUGGUACUUUAUGAUAAUGCUUAGUAUAUGACUUGUUCUAUUGAUUAAUGUUGCAGUAACAUCAUAAUAUCACCAGAAUCACAAUGUUUCUAAAGAUAACAUUGAAAAGAUCACAGUCCAAUGUUGCUAAUGUCUUAUAAAUAGACCAGAUGCUAGAAAAUCUCCAUUACCUAAUUUGCAAGUUUCAGACAAAUAUAAAUGUGCUCUGCAAAAUUGAUUGGCCUUCUUAAUCUGUUAGAAGCUAUAAUGUUAACUUUGUUCCUUUAAUGUGGGCCAUACUACUUGCAUGACUCUGCGAUAUAGAUAAUCUCUCAAGAUGGAUUUUGCUUAUUAUUAUCUCUUUCUUUCCCCCUCUUUUUCUCCGGCCCCUCAUACUGUGUGGUGGGGAUGGCCUGGUAUUGGAAACAGUUUCCCUGAUAUGAUUAAAGAAAAAAAAA